rnacentral:tRNA from 1 species
GCCCAGGUGGCGGAAUUGGUAGACGCACCAGAUUUAGGUUCUGGCGCCUCGCGGCGUGGGGGUUCGAGUCCCUUCCUGGGCACCA